rnacentral:rRNA from 1 species
AACCUUACCUGGUCUUGACAUAGUAAGAACUUUCCAGAGAUGGAUUGGUGCCUUCGGGAACUUACAUACAGGUGCUGCAUGGCUGUCGUCAGCUCGUGUCGUGAGAUUGUUGGGUUAAGUCCCGCAACGAGCGCAACCCUUUUCCUUAUUUGCCAGCGGGUUAAGCCGGGAACUUUAAGGAUACUGCCAGUGACAAACUGGAGGAAGGCGGGGACGACGUCAAGUCAUCAUGGCCCUUACGACCAGGGCUACACACGUGCUACAAUGGUCGGUACAAAGGGUUGCUACCUAGCGAUAGGAUGCUAAUCUCAAAAAGCCGAUCGUAGUCCGGAUUGGAGUCUGCAACUCGACUCCAUGAAGUCGGAAUCGCUAGUAAUCGCGGAUCAGAAUGCCGCGGUGAAUACGUUCCCGGGCCUUGUACACACCGCCCGUCACACCAUGGGAAUUUGUUGCACCAGAAGUAGGUAGUCUAACCGCAAGGAGGACGCUUACCACGGUGUGGCCGAUGACUGGGGUGAAGUCGUAACAAGGUAGGCGUAGAUGA